GGCUGGUUAGCUCAGCUGGUCAGAACUUGGUAAUAAUAAUGCCAAGGUCAUGGGUUCAAUUCCCAUACUGGCCA
rnacentral:tRNA from 1 species